rnacentral:rRNA from 1 species
ACGGGAGGCAGCAGUGAGGAAUAUUGGUCAAUGGUCGGAAGACUGAACCAGCCAUGCCGCGUGCAGGAAUAAGGCCCUAUGGGUCGUAAACUGCUUUUGUAGUGGAGCAAUAAGGGCUACGCGUAGCCUGAUGAGAGUACAUUACGAAUAAGCAUCGGCUAACUCCGUGCCAGCAGCCGCGGUAAUACGGAGGAUGCAAGCGUUAUCCGGAUUUAUUGGGUUUAAAGGGUGCGUAGGCUGUUUGGCAAGUCAGCGGUGAAAUACCUGGGCUUAACUCAGGAAUUGCCAUUGAUACUGUCAGGCUUGAAUACUGUUGCCGUGGGAGGAAUGAGUAGUGUAGCGGUGAAAUGCAUAGAUAUUACUCAGAACACCGAUUGCGAAGGCAUCUCACGAAGCAGGCAUUGACGCUGAGGCACGAAAGCGUGGGGAUCAAACAGGAUUAGAUACCCUGGUA